GAGGGCGCCCGGCACCGCGGGUGGGUUUGACGUGACCCGGGGAGGAAGGCCGCGCGGGGACCGCACCGUGUCUCGGCCUGCGUCAGCCCCCGAACCGCGCCCGGGACUUGUCGGAGAGCGCUGCUGGGCCCAGGCCAUGCCGUGCUAGGCCAUGCCACGCCACGGCACGGCACGGCACACCACACCACAGGCCCUGACCCACCGCUCCGGCACGUGCUCUGUGGGCUUUGAUUUACAGGCGCUAAGGUCCCUUGUUCCAGCCUAACCCCAUCUCCUCCUACCAAGACGCAUCCCCUGUGACCAGACCCAAAUGCAGUUUUCAAAGCCGACUGGGUCAUUUGUUGCUCCAGGACUGUGGAGGUUCUGAAACGUGGAAAUCUUACACCCACCCGCAGUCUUAUACCCACCAUCCCAAGGCUGUGCUUUUAUCCGCCGACUCCCUCACAGGCUUCACGAAGUGUGGUUUUGGCUGUUUCGGUCCAGUAAGCAGAUAGGGCAAUGAAGUCCCUAGUAGUUCUACAGCUCGUGAUGUGUAGCAGCAAGCUGCUCAUACAAGCACUACUUAAAGCCCCCCCUGUUCAUAUGCUGGACGGGGGAAAGGUGAGCACAAAAAUAAAGGUUGCAAUAGAAAAGGCCCACAAAAGUAAAUCACCAUAUCCUAUUCAAUUACAGGCAUGCAGUAUUUCUUUGCCUUGCAGGAAGCAGUGCACAUGGCUAUAUAGCAAAGUUAGAAUGGUAUUCAGCCACUCUUGUCACAAAGACCAUUUAAAUAUCUUAGCUAGAGACAUCCAGUCUUCUAUUCUACAAUUAACCUACACAAAAAAAACCACAUACCAAAUCAUAUCUACUUGCUAGAGUUCUGCUAAUAGUUGUAGGAUUGCUGCUUUAAAGGGUACGUCAGCUUAGCUGUAUCAGAUUUAAAGGAUUCAUUCACAGAAAAGUAUGAUAACAUUUCUUUUGAGGAGAACUGCAGAAAUGAGCUAUCCAGAUUAAAGAGCAGCAAAGCAGAUCGCCUGGGGAAAGAUACCUUGGGAUCAUGCGUGGUUUUGAGAAAGGACCGAGAACUAUUGUCUGUAGUUGGGUGAUAGCAAAAAGCCUGCUAUUUGUUCUACAAAAUUCCACUGCGCUUUUUUAAAAGAAUAAAGAAAAGGUCCUAGAGCCUGAACUACCACCUAGUUUUGCUCUGAAGCGAUUGUUCCAGGCAUUCUAGUGUAAAGAGUAGAAAGUUUUGAUAAAACCAGACUGACAAAAGUACAUGAAAUGCCUUCACUUCUCAGUAUUAGAAAGAAACCUCAAAACAGGUUUGAAAGUUCAGGUCGAACAACAGGGACAGAAAAGGUGCUGAAGGGCUGGAAUAAAAAAGUAGUGAUGCUGAAAGGAGGAGCAGUAAGUGGAAGUGUUUCUAGAAGAACCAUAGAAAAUAAAGUUUUACUACUUUACUACUA